rnacentral:rRNA from 1 species
CCCUUAGAUGUUCUGGGCCGCACGCGUGCUACACUGAGUGGAUCAGCGGGUCAGGUUGCGCGAAAGUGUUUCCUAAUCUUGAAAUCCGCUCGUGAUGGGGAUUGACGGUUGCAAUUUUCCGUCAUGAACGAGGAAUACCUUGUAAGCGCGGGUCAUCAUCCCGCGCUGAAUACGUCCCUGCCCUUUGUACACACCGCCUGUCGCUCCUACCGAUUGAGUGGUCCGGUGAGGCUUUGGGAUCUGAGCAAAGAGAGCGUUUCGCUCGUUUUGCCCGGAAAACUCAGUCGAACCUUAUCAUUUAGAGGAAGGAGAAGUCGUAACA